GAGCGCCGUAUCAUACGGAGCGGCAGACGGGUAGAGUAACACGUAGGGAACGUGCCCUUCAUUUCGGAACAACCCACGAAAACUUGGGCUAGUACCGGAUACGUCCGUAAGGAGAAAGAUUUAUCGCUGAAGGAUCGGCCCGCGUCUGAUUAGCUUGUUGGUGAGGUAACGGGUCACCAAUGCGACGAUCAGUAGCUGGUCUGAUAGGAUGAUCAGGGCUCACUGGGACUGAGACACGGCCCAGACUCCUACGGGAGGCAGCAGUGGGGAAUAUUGGACAAUGGGCGCAAGCCUGAUCCAACCAUGCCGCGUGGGUGAUGAAUGCCUUACGGUUGUGUAGCCCUUUCGGUGGGGAAGAUAAUGACGGUACCCGCAUAAGAAGCCCCGGGUAACUUCGUG
rnacentral:rRNA from 1 species